rnacentral:rRNA from 1 species
CCUACGGGAGGCAGCAGUAGGGAAUAUUGCUCAAUGGGGGAAACCCUGAAGCAGCAACGCCGCGUGGAGGAUGAAGGUUUUAGGAUUGUAAACUCCUGUUGUUAGAGAAGAUUAUGACGGUAUCUAACGAAUAAGCACCGGCUAACUCCGUGCCAGCAGCCGCGGUCAUACGGAGGGUGCAAGCGUUACUCGGAAUCACUGGGCGUAAAGAGUGCGUAGGCGGGGUAAUAAGUUAGAUGUGAAAUCCUGUAGGUUAACUACAGGACUGCAUUGGAAACUGUUACUCUGGAGUGUGGGAGAGGUAGGUGGAAUUCUUGGUGUAGCGGUAAAAUGCGUAGAGAUAAGGAGGAAUACUAGUGGCGAAGGCGGCCUGCUGGAACGUUACUGACGCUGAUGCACGAAAGCGUGGGGAGCAAACAGGAUUAGAUACCCUUGUAGUC